CAGCUGUGUCCCGGAGCACCCAGUGAACAUGCAUUUAAGGCACACGUAAAUGAACAGAUGGGGUGCAGUGAGGAGCUGGCUGGAGACACCAAGUCAAGGCCCUGGAUUUGGACUGAAGGUGACCCCUGCAGGGGGGCUGGCAUCUGGGACCCAGGAAGCAUCGAUAAAAAUCGGAGCGUUUACGGAUCGGCUCGAAGCCCAUCACUUCGCACAUCGUUCACAUUGCUCCCGCCUCCCCGCCUGUCUCUCCCUGGACAAUAGGUGUCUGCUCCACACCCACUCUCUGCUGCGCGAGAAAGGGCCUGUCUCGUUGUGAAGAGCCCUUCCUUCCGGCUUCCUGGGUUGGAGGUAAACACCCCAGGGAGAAUGCGCCCCUUGUCUGGCCGGCUGCGGACGGUGGGAGAGGCGGGGGCAGC
rnacentral:lncRNA from 1 species